rnacentral:lncRNA from 1 species
UUUUGAAGAGGGAAAUCAAGCAUAGAAAUUCUAGCUAAGGUGGAUUUAGAAGAAAAAAAAGAAAGGACUUAUUUUUGGAUGAAAACCAAAAAGCUUUGAUUUUAGGAUUGCUUGAAUAAGGAUGCUUUGUAAAAGGUUUUGGGAUUACGUAGGGUGGCUCUGGUAAAAGUUUUAUCAGAACAAAGGCAAAAACAACCCAGGCCGAUUGGCCUGGUGUUGGUCUAGGCUGAUCGGCUUAGGCCACUUUUGUCUCUGUUGGCUCUAGGUUUUUGUGGGAUGGUGUGUGGAGUCGAUAGGAAGGUUUAGGUGCAAAAGGUUUUGAUGAAAAUAACAUUAAAAUGUAGUGCAACAUGUGGUGGAUAAAAAAUGAUAUGACAUGAUAUGGAGGUGGUCUACAACAAAACAAAAGUUAACCUAAAUUAAAUAGCCACAAGUUUAGAAUCGAAGGGUGGUACCAUAUUUCGUAUUUCUCUCUAAAAAUACACAAAUAAAAAGACUCUAAACACUAAUAUCACACAAAAAUGGGUCUAUAAGUUUUCCAAGAUCAAAUAACAAUGUGCUCCCUCAAUAUUAUUCAAAGCAUACAACAUGUUGUUGCAGUAUUUAUUAGAGCAGUGGUACGAAGUUACUUGAUGGUUUCGAUUGAAGAGCACAAUAUAGAUUGUCAUCUUAAUAUAAACAAUAAAUGAAAAGAUGGGUUGCCUCCCGCAAAGUGCUUUAGUUAUAGUCAUAUAGCUAGACUGCUCACCUUGCUCAUGUUCAUGCGGAGCCAUGGUCCUUUGUGUGACAAUCCAAAGUAUCCAUGCAUCUUGAUAUCAUCUUUUGUAAUCCUUCGUGGUUUGCUUCUAACAUCUGCAUGUAGAACUGAUUUUAGGACGCGCGACGUCGAUGAUUUGGCCAUAACUGCUUGUAGGAACAUCCGAUUGCCUUGAUGCUGAAUCCAUUGGAAUUUAUACUUCAUGGGGCUUCUGAAUAUCCAAAAAUAUUCUUUGUUUUUUUUUCUUCUGAGGUAGCACAAAAUCUUCAUGAUAACAGUAGCUUCUUGUGCAUCGAUCCAGAGAUGUUGAUGAUCCCAAUCUUGUUGUCUUUAGGGCAUUAUGUUGCACACCAUUCGGCUUCAAGUUCAUCACCACUGCUGCACUAGCGAGUAGCAUGGCAGCAAUAAUGUGUCUUCUCCAUAUUUCUUGCUUUAAUGAAGGUGUCAGGAUCAAAUGAGGCCCAUGCGCUUUGUGUCAACGAUCUGAGUAAUUUCCUUCCUUGGUUCCAUCACUCAAUAGAAGCUCUUGAGCAUCCCACUGGAGAAGAUUGAUAGUGUCAUGGUGUUUCUAAUCUUCUUGCCUCCAGUCUUGAUCACCUCCAAAUCAUCAUCUUCUAUGUAGAGAGGUCCUCCAAUCCUCCCUCUUUGCUUGACAUGGUUGCUUCCAACACCUGUUACUUGAACAAACAAAUCUCCAAGAAACAUUAGUCUGAAAAACAAUUGACACAGCAGACAUACCCCCUUUUUUCAUGUUAUUUGCAUCUUGAUCAAUGCAGACUCAAUAGCGGAUGCUAGGCCACCAACAAUGCUAGCACCUAUCGCUAAAGAGCUAAUCUUGAUGUCAUCAUCAUUGUGUUGGAGUGAUUUUGGAUUCGAUGAACUUGAAUUUUAAUCCACUUCCUCCAUCAUUUGGCAUCUAGUAUUUACCUGCUUUCAAGGAUGCAAACAAUAAAAAUGGGAUAUAUGCAAUAGAAACAUUAGGGUUAGUCCAAAAAGUUAGAUAGAUCUCCCUAGGGUUCAAGUUGCCGAUCCCCAGCAACGACGUCAGAAAAGCUUAUUGACUGCAGCUAGCGCGCCAAUUUGUGAACCACAAGCGCACGGAUAUGUUGUAGCUUUUCCCUUGGAGUAUUUGUCCAAUGUUUAUCAAUCUGUGGAUCUGCAGCGAACUGGCUAGGGUUCUCUAUCUGGCUAAACUGAUCUAUCCUAACAUGAAGGAUUGAUUGCAUAUGAAAGCAAACUUGUUGUAAAGAGUAGUAUCAUGAACAAGGGUAGAUCACAUCCACAGAUAUAUAUGAUAUAACAACACCAAGGGCAGCAAGAGUCAUCUUCUAUUCAUAGUUCUAGCCAACGAUCAAGCACAUCAUGCAUCUCAUCUAAAGCAAUCUUUAAAUUACUACCUUCGGUCAACCUCCCGAAAACCCCCACCUUACACAAAAGCAGAUCAUGUCAUG